AGUGAACGCUGGCGGUAUGCCUAAUACAUGCAAGUCGAACGGCAGCACAGUAAGCUCUUGCUCUUACGGGUGGCGAGUGGCGGACGGGUGACGAAUACAUCGCAAUCUUCUUUUUCGUGGGUGAUAACGUAGGGCAACUUACGCUAAUACUGCAUAUGACCUACGGCUUAAUUCAGUGGAUCUUCGCACCUUUCCCGACUGAAUGAGCUGAUGCCGCAUUAGCUAGUUGGUAGGGUAAAGGCCCACCAAGGCGACGAUACGUAGCUGGUCUGAGAGGAUGAUCAGCCACACUGGAACUGAGACACGGUCCAGACUCCUACGGGAGGCAGCAGUAGGGAAUAUUCGGCAAUGGGCGAAAGCCUGAUGCAGCAACGCCGCGUGGGUGAAGAAGGUCUUCGGGUCGUAAAGCCCUGUUGUUAGGGAAGAAAAGCAGCAGGAUUAACUCCGGCUGUUUUGACGGUACCCAAAGAAUAAGCACCGGCUAACUUCGUG
rnacentral:rRNA from 1 species